ACCCGCGUAGCUCAAUUGGACUAGAGCGUGAGACUCUUACACGAGUUAGAGACCAUCUCAAGGCUGAGGGUUCGACCCCCUCCGUGGGUG